CCUACGGGAGGCAGCAGUGGGGAAUCUUGCACAAUGGAGGAAACUCUGAUGCAGCGAUGCCGCGUGAGUGAAGAAGGCCCUUGGGUUGUAAAGCUCUUUCGUCGGGGAAGAAAAUGACUGUACCCGAAUAAGAAGGUCCGGCUAACUUCGUGCCAGCAGCCGCGGUAAUACGAAGGGACCUAGCGUAGUUCGGAAUUACUGGGCUUAAAGAGUUCGUAGGUGGUUGAAAAAGUUAGUGGUGAAAUCCCAGAGCUUAACUCUGGAACUGCCAUUAAAACUUUUCAGCUAGAGUAUGAUAGAGGAAAGCAGAAUUUCUAGUGUAGAGGUGAAAUUCGUAGAUAUUAGAAAGAAUACCAAUUGCGAAGGCAGCUUUCUGGAUCAUUACUGACACUGAGGAACGAAAGCAUGGGUAGCGAAGAGGAUUAGAUACCCUCGUAGUCCAUGCCGUAAACGAUGUGUGUUAGACGUUGGAAAUUUAUUUUCAGUGUCGCAGGGAAACCGAUAAACACACCGCCUGGGGAGUACGGCCGCAAGGUUAAAACUCAAAGGAAUUGACGG
rnacentral:rRNA from 1 species